GGGGGUAUAGCUCAGUGGUAGAGCACUUCCCUAGCAAGGGUAAGGCCCUGGGUUCCAUCCCCAGCACCAUCA
rnacentral:tRNA from 1 species